rnacentral:rRNA from 1 species
AACGAACGCUGGCGGCAUGCCUAACACAUGCAAGUCGAACGAGAUCUUCGGGUCUAGUGGCGCACGGGUGCGUAACGCGUGGGAAUCUGCCCUUUGGUUCGGAAUAACAGUUGGAAACGACUGCUAAUACCGGAUGAUGACGAAAGUCCAAAGAUUUAUCGCCAGAGGAUGAGCCCGCGUGGGAUUAGCUAGUUGGUGUGGUAAAGGCGCACCAAGGCGACGAUCCUUAGCUGUCUGAGAGGAUGAUCAGCCACACUGGGACUGAGACACGGCCCAGACUCCUACGGGAGGCAGCAGUGGGGAAUAUUGGACAAUGGGCGAAAGCCUGAUCCAGCAAUGCCGCGUGAGUGAUGAAGGCCUUAGGGUUGUAAAGCUCUUUUACCCGGGAUGAUAAUGACAGUACCGGGAGAAUAAGCUCCGGCUAACUCCGUGCCAGCCGCCGCGGUAA